rnacentral:misc_RNA from 1 species
AACCAUUCUCACCUGCGGCUAGACCUGCGGAAGGAUCAUUACAGAGUUAUCCAACUCCCAAACCCAUGUGAACUUAUCUCUUUGUUGCCUCGGCGCAAGCUACCCGGGACCCCGCGCCCCGGGCGGCCCGCCGGCGGACAAACCAAAACUCUUGUUAUCUUAGUUGAUUCUCUGAGCGUCUUAUUUAAUAAGUCAAAACUUUUAACAAUGGAUCU